AUCAUUUCUACUACAGUGGCGGAGCCGUACAGGACCUGUUUCACUGCAGGGGGAUCCAAAACAAGCCCCGUGGAGCAGCAGCCAGAGCAACAGCAGCCGCAAGACAUUGUUUCUCUCCCUCUGCCCCCCCUUCCCCACGCAACCCCAGAUCCAUUUACACUUUACAGUUUUACCUCACAAAAGCUACUACAAGCACCAAGCUCCCUGAUGGAAAGGAGCAUCGUCCAUCAAGUCACCAGGGUGGUCCAUUCAAGCUGCAGAUUUGUUUGUCAUCCUUGUACAGCAAUCUCCUCCUCCACUGCCACUACAGGGAAGUGCAUCACAUGUCAGGUCACAGAACAGAAAGUGCUGGUGGACAUCUCUUCUUGCCCCAAGAUCUUCGUUGGAAGUCCCCGGGACUUGGUGUCUUUGCCGUUCAAAGUGUUUAUGAACUCGCCAGGAGGCAUAAUGUGUCACCAUUUUAUUCUGGGCCACCCUAAAGGAUGACACCCAGCUUCAGAGACCUCCUCUUGGACGACAUCCCUGAGAAUCAAUGUUUUAGCUGUCCCAUAGUCUGACGUCUGCUUCCGACCGCUUUUGAGCUGGCGCAGGCUUAGUCAUUAAUGGCCAGGACGCUGUUAAAUGUUCUGCCUGAUUGGCUUGCAGCU
rnacentral:sRNA from 1 species